AAUAAUAACAGUCUCUCAGCGAGAGCUACCUGAUGUGUUCCCAAACCUUGUUAGCCUGAUUAAUCUAGAUAUAUCAGCUAACAAUCUAAGCGGCAUAUUGCCUCCUUCAAUGGGAGUUUGUUAGCUCUUACAACAUUACAUGUUCAGAACAAUCAGCUGUCAGGAACUCUAGACGUUCUUCAAGACCUUCCUCUUAAUGACUUGUAAUGUUUCUUUCUCU